rnacentral:rRNA from 1 species
GCGCAGCCUGAUGCAGCCAUGCCGCGUGUGUGAAGAAGGCCUUCGGGUUGUAAAGCACUUUCAGUCAGGAGGAAAGGUUAGUAGUUAAUACCUGCUAGCUGUGACGUUACUGACAGAAGAAGCACCGGCUAACUCCGUGCCAGCAGCCGCGGUAAUACGGAGGGUGCGAGCGUUAAUCGGAAUUACUGGGCGUAAAGCGUACGCAGGCGGUUUGUUAAGCGAGAUGUGAAAGCCCCGGGCUCAACCUGGGAACUGCAUUUCGAACUGGCAAACUAGAGUGUGAUAGAGGGUGGUAGAAUUUCAGGUGUAGCGGUGAAAUGCGUAGAGAUCUGAAGGAAUACCGAUGGCGAAGGCAGCCACCUGGGUCAACACUGACGCUCAUGUACGAAAGCGUGGGGAGCAAACAGGAUUAGAUACCCUGGUAGUCCACGCCGUAAACGAUGUCUACUAGAAGCUCGGAGCCUCGGCUCUGUUUUUCAAAGCUAACGCAUUAAGUAGACCGCCUGGGGAGUACGGCCGCAAGGUUAAAACUCAAAUG